GGCCGACUAGCUCAGCUGGUUAGAGCGUCGUGCUAAUAACGCGAAGGUCUUGGGUUCGAUCCCCACGUUGGCCA
rfam:Galerina marginata CBS 339.88 GALMAscaffold_5_Cont183, whole genome shotgun sequence.